UCCAUCAACAGUUUACACGACCUCUUUCUU
rnacentral:piRNA from 1 species